rnacentral:rRNA from 1 species
AAACCAGCACCUCAAGUGGUCAGGAUGAUUAUUGGGCCUAAAGCAUCCGUAGCCUGAUCUGUAAGUUUUCGGUUAAAUCUGUACGCUCAACGUACAGGCUGCCGGGAAUACUGCAGAUCUAGGGAGUGGGAGAGGUAGACGGUACUCGGGAGGAAGUGGUAAAAUGCUUUGAUCUCUCGAUGACCACCUGUGGCGAAGGCGGUCUACCAGAACACGUCCGACGGUGAGGGAUGAAAGCUGGGGGAGCAAACCGGAUUAGAUACACGGGUAGUCC